rnacentral:rRNA from 2 species
CACCGCGGUUAUACGAAAGACCCCAGUUGAUAAACACGGCGUAAAGGGUGGUUAAGGGAAACAACUAAUAAAGCUAAAGACCCUCUAAGCCGUCAUACGCACUCCGAGGUCACGAAACCCAAACACGAAAGUAGCUUUAAACCUAUAACACCUGACCCCACGAAAGCUAAGAAA